GGGUUUACAACAAAAAGAGCAAAUACAAGUAUGAGUUGGUGAGCAAUUGGCAUCAAAAAAUUGUCCAGAAAUGCCAGGAGGUGCAGGCUUUCCUUGGAAUUGUUUAAUGCAUGUGUUGGUGCAGUUUGAUAUUUCACAAGGUAUGGAAGCUCCUGGGGGUUGAAUUUCACAUACUUCUUUAUCUCCAAGGAUCGUUUUAGCCUCU
rnacentral:lncRNA from 1 species